AACGAACGCUGGCGGCAGGCCUAACACAUGCAAGUCGAGCGCCCCGCAAGGGGAGCGGCGGACGGGUGAGUAACGCGUGGGAACGUACCCCUUUCUACGGAAUAGCCUCGGGAAACUGGGAGUAAUACCGUAUAAGCUCUUCGGAGGAAAGAUUUAUCGGGAAGGGAUCGGCCCGCGUUGGAUUAGGUAGUUGGUGGGGUAAUGGCCUACCAAGCCGACGAUCCAUAGCUGGUUUGAGAGGAUGAUCAGCCACACUGGGACUGAGACACGGCCCAGACUCCUACGGGAGGCAGCAGUGGGGAAUCUUAGACAAUGGGCGCAAGCCUGAUCUAGCCAUGCCGCGUGAGCGAUGAAGGCCUUAGGGUUGUAAAGCUCUUUCAGUGGGGGAGAUAAUGACUGUACCCACAGAAGAAGCCCCGGCUAACUCCGUGCCAGCCGCCGCAGUAAGAC
rnacentral:rRNA from 1 species